AUGUACCCACGUACAUUCCGGUUCCUCUGCGCCGCCCGCACCUACCGCGAGUGAGCGCC
rnacentral:sRNA from 1 species